CGGGGAACUGCGAUCCGCGAGGACGGUUGCUGCGCGGAGCCCAGCGCUCAGGACAGACCGAAAGAAAGCCAACCCUUUUCACAGAGCGACGCCGGCUCCGGAAAGGGUCUGUGAAACUGGCCGCUGGACAAAAUCCUUGGAAACUGCCCCGAUUUCUUUCUGAAUAUUUUGGGUUUCGUUAUAAAGAAAUCAUACUGUACUUUUCUGGCUCCAUAGGAAGGAGCGUUGAAGCUGUCUGAGCUUCUCAUCCAAACCGUUUAAUAAGACUACUCAGUUCCUGAUUGAAGCCUGCUAGUGUCUCUCUGGUUUUUGUCUUCAACUGCAGAUCGAGUUCUUUGAUGCAAAUAUAUUCCAGUCCGUUGCCCAAUAAAGAUUAUCGUUCCCA